rnacentral:rRNA from 1 species
GACGAACGCUGGCGGCGUGCCUAAUACAUGCAAGUCGAACGCAGUGGGGACGGGUGAGUAACACGUGGGUAACCUCCCAUCAGAGGGGAUAACACUUGGAAACAGGUGCUAAACCGAUAUUGAAUGAUGGACCCGCUGUGCAUUAGCUAGUUGGUGGGGUAAUGGCUUACCAAGGCCACGAUGCAUAGCCGAGCUGAGAGGUGGACCGGCCACACGGGGACUGAGACACGGCCCAGACUCCUACGGGAGGCAGCAGUAGGGAAUCUUCGGCAAUGGACGAAAGUCUGACCGAGCAACGCCGCGGGAGUGAAGAAGGUUUUCGGAUCGUAAAACACUGUUGGUAGGGAAGCGGUAUCUAACCAGAAAGCCACGGCUAACUACGUGCCAGCAGCCGCGGUAAUUC